rnacentral:lncRNA from 1 species
GUUGUGGGCAUAACAUCUAAUGUUCAGUGGUGUCCUGAUGAAAUCAAAUUGGGUUAAAUGAAGCUUAAGUGCCUGCCCCUGAAAGAUCCUCAACCUAAGGUCAGAAACCUAAUUAUUGUCACCAGAAGGGACUGACUACGGGAAACACACGGCCCUAGACGAUUUGGAAAGUGUUUUAGUAAAAAAGUGGAUUUCUCAUUCAUCUGUAGAAUAAAUGCUUCUGGCAGAGCUCUCGCCCGCAAAAUUCCCUCUACUAAUCUUUAAGAAGAAUCGAGGAUCGCCUUAUCUGAAUAUGAAACCUGCAUCCAGACUCAAAAAAUCCAGAGAAAAGCUUUUCCAUCUUCAAAAAAGCUAA